rnacentral:rRNA from 1 species
UACGGGGGGGGCAAGCGUUGUUCGGAAUUACUGGGCGUAAAGGGCUCGUAGGCGGCCAACUAAGUCAGACGUGAAAUCCCUCGGCUUAACCGGGGAACUGCGUCUGAUACUGGAUGGCUUGAGUUUGGGAGAGGGAUGCGGAAUUCCAGGUGUAGCGGUGAAAUCCGUAAAUAUACGAAGGAACGCCAAAAGCGAAGGCAGCUCUCUGGGUCCCUACCGACGCUGGGGUGCGAAAGCAUGGGGAGCGAACAGG